CCCAAGCACUUAGUACAGUGCUCUGCACACGCUGAGCACUUUGAAGUUGGGGAAAAGAAUCACAGGCUGCGGGAACAGUGUGAGGAAGAGGGCCGAGGUGAUAGUUGAGAGUAACGCAUAGUUAGACGGUUACUUUGUAGCUCAGGGCUUGAAAUUUGCUAUUUGAACCAGAAGUCACUAAAUCAAUGGUGUUUACUGAGUGCUUACUCUAAGCAGAGCACUGUACUAAGCGCUUGGGAGAGUCCAAUGCAAUAGAGCUAGUAGACAAGUUCCCCACCCUCACAGACUUCAGAAGUUGGUAGAAUGGAAUGUGCUGUUUUUUUACCAAGAAAGGGGAGAAGGAAGCUCCAAUCUGUAAUAACCAACUCUGGGACCUUUGAUGAUAUAUCAUGACUUUUUUGCUAUAAAUUAAGCUUUGCUAUUUCUUUAGAAAAAUAUCCCUAAAAUUGCCUUAAUUUUUCAAACCGCUUUUGAACGUCUGCCAAAAUCCAGUCACACUGCAUGAAUGGAACAGGUUUAGGUGACCCUGAUUGUUCUUAGCCAAGGUGCCCGAGACGAAAGAACAGGAUUUUCUUCCUGUUCCACCCGGAGAAGCAGAAGAGACGACGAAGAGGCUGAAUGAGUGUGAGGCCUCCCUCUCUGCGUAUUCGUAGAGCCUAAACCCGGCCCUUUUUUGCACAGGCCUUAAAGCUGGAGUCUGUGGUAAGGAGGGUCAGGGAUUUUCCUCGGGCAUUGUACACAUCAGAAAGUAGCCAUAAAGAAAAUACCUAUUCACGUCAUCAGUAGGAUCAUCAUCAAGCAGUAUUUAUUGAAUACAAUGGUAUUCACGGACAAAGCCAAGAAGAAAGUCAAUGAGGAAACAUUCCCUAACUCUAAGAAGCUUGUCUUGUCCUUUGCCGUGGAGUCAUCUCCGAUACAUGGACGCAUCUCUCCCAGAACUCCACACCUCCAUCUGCAAUGGUUCUGAUAAUGUAUUAGCUCUUUCACGUCAUGUAUUUUUUUAUGGUAUUUGUUAAGCACUCGGUAUAUGCCGGGAACUGUACUAGGUACUGUACUGAGGAAGAUCCGGUACUGCGGUAGAUAGGAGCUAAUCAGGUUGGACCCAUGUCCCACGUGGGGCUCGCGG